rnacentral:rRNA from 1 species
UUUUCCGGUUGAUCCCGCCGGAGGUCAUUGCUAUUGGAGUCCGAUUUAGCCAUGCUAGUUGCACGAGUUCAGACUCGUAGCAGAUAGCUCAGUAACACGUGGCCAAACUACCCUCUGGACGUGGACAACCUCGGGAAACUGAGGCUAAUCCGCGAUAGGGGUCUCAUCCUGGAGUGGAGAGACCCUGAAACGCUCCGGCGCCAGAGGAUGUGGCUGCGGCCGAUUAGGUAGACGGUGGGGUAACGGCCCACCGUGCCAGUAAUCGGUACGGGUUGUGAGAGCAAGAGCCCGGAGACGGUAUCUGAGACAAGAUACCGGGCCCUACGGGGCGCAGCAGGCGCGAAACCUUUACACUGCACGCCAGUGCGAUAAGGGGACUCCAAGUGCGAGGGCAUAGAGCCCUCGCUUUUCCGGACCGUAAGGUAGUCCAGGAACAAGGGCUGGGCAAGAAUCGAAUUCCCG